CUCAGGGAAGAGCGGAAGGGCUCCCCUGGGGAGACUGCGAGGGGCGGUCCUAGCACCUCACCUCCCAAACUCCGGUGACGCCCGCUGCCUGAGGAGACCUGUUGUUUGGAUUGUCGGAAGGAGACCAUGAGGAUUCUGGGAAAGGGACCCCCAGUGUUAGCGAGACCCGCCUGUGCGGAAUGGCUGCCCAGGAAUCCUUUCGUAUGGUUUUGGCUGGCUUAUAUGGCGUCUGCGGUCGAAUCAAUUACAUAUAGCCUAUAGGGAUAUUUCAUUUUAGCCACGCUGAGACAGAGCGGCUGACAGAAAUGCUUGCCAGCAUCCUAAACCAGCUGGGUGCAGACGGUCUGACUAGUUUAAGGAGACCGGCUGAAGUUCUGCCCAAACAAUCUGUGGAUGGAAAAGCACCACUUGCUCCUGGAGGAGGAAGAGGAGGAGGAGGAGGAAGUUCCAGAUCUGGUGGAGAAUUUUGAUGAGGCUUCCAAGAACGAGGCACACUGAAUUGAAGCAACUUCAGGAGAGGGUGACUUGCAGAAGUUACUGUAGCUGUUAUUUUCUAUCAUGACUGCCUCUUAAAAUUCUUUUGUUUAUGGAUCUAAUAAAGUCUAUAUCUCUAAUAUUUUUAAGUCCCAAGGCUCC
rnacentral:lncRNA from 1 species